GGAAAACCAAGGAGAAGAGUCCCAAGGAUUCGCCGAGGUGCCUUGGAGAGACCACCCGGACACUCCUGGAGCUUGUCUCCCUCCCCUGAACUCAAUGCACCGCUGAUGUCACUGACUUGCAUCGUUUUCUAGAACAUGUGCAGGUGAUGUAUUGAUGGCCCAUGUAUGUACUUAGCAAGGGCUAUGCCUCCCGAGAUUCCAGACAUAAAGAUCCCGAAUCACAACUGCACAUCCUCAUAGCAGGUUAUUUCUUUCCGUCCCAGGGUCUUCCCUCUUGGGAUAACUCCAAGAAGGCCAAUGAGUUAUGGAGAACCAAGGGUCAGCUCCAAUCAUUGUGGUCAGUGGAAAGCCCAAGCCUUGGGCCACAGCACUCCCUUGCUCUGUGGCUGAGGCCCUUGGGCACUGCAGGGUGGGGUCUGAAGGUCAGUGUGCUCAGGGGCAGGUGCUCACUGCCCCUGCUCCCCCCACAGUGGCUUUUCUGAGGAAGCUUCUGGACUUGAUUCUAACAUGCUAGGAGCCUAUGGCACUGGCCAGGGAGGCUGGAGACAGAGUGCUUCACACCAGACCACCAGGAGACAGAGAGCUGGAAGGUCCACACUGCUCGACCCAGGCCCACUGCACCGCCAGCCUCUCCCACCUCCCGUUUCUACCAGUGCUAUUCUGUCUAACUCCAGCCUGCCCCGAGGUCCUGCUCUGGGGCCAGGGUAGCUGCAAGUUGGGGCAGGCUUGGCCCUGAAACACCCAACAUGUGGUCAUGGAAGGACAGCAGCCCAGCAGCGGGGAUGGGUGAGUCCUCCUGCAAGGAGUCCACUGAGCCCCCACUAGCCAAGGGUGGAGCCCCUCGGCCUUUCUCGAAAGGCCACAGCAGGGUCUUCCUGGGGGGGGAGUCCACAGAAGAAGGCACUCACAUUCAAGAUCAGAGUUCUGUUUCCAGGAGUGAGGAUUCUCUUUGAGAAACUGCUGUUCCUCAUCUGUUUAGAUGUGUCAAGAAACAAAGAAUUCAAAAUGUACAAAUAAGUGAAAAGGCAGAAUAUAAAAUUCAUCCCUGUUCUUCCUUAAUUUUUGCUUCCUAGGGGACUCCCGAGAGUUUACCGUAUGUCAUUCUAGACGGUUUCCUAGGUGCAUAAAACAACGAAGGAAUAGAUGGGCAGAGAUUGAUGGAAACAGAAUCAUAUGUGGAGACAGGGACUUGUAGAGAUAAAGGGACAUCAGGGUGGAGACAUGGACAAUGCGUGUUCUUUACAUAAAGUCUUGAUCUUUCCUGGUGAAGCCUGUCACUGUCCCUUUGCUCUCAGCCUGUGUCAGGGCGGCUGUCCACAGCGUGCUCCCACACUGGCCAGCUCAAGUCGAUGUCUGCAUUAGCGUUCUGUGGCGUGGCUGGACCAUGAAUUGUCCAUUCAGGACCCACUGGUGAGCAUGUAGAUGGUCUCCAUUUUUGUUCACCUCUAACAAUGCUGCAACGACCAUCAUUAGAGAUGUGUUUCUAUGUGUAUAUAUAUAUAUCAUUGAUAUUUUAAAUGCUGGCCAGUAAAUUAGGAGGAAAAAAAAAGCAGUGCCCUGUCAGGGGCUUGUCUCCCUGUGACUGACAUUAGGUCUGGUGUGUUGCCAUCAGGGUUUCUUUUUCUGUAAAGAGCCUCCUUCCUAUUCUUUGACCCCAUAUUUAGCUGUUUCUCCUGGCUCUCGAGGGCUCUUUUCCUACUAAAGGCAGGGAAACAUAUCCAACUACUCUUUCUACGGCAUCUUUUGCCAUAUGGAGGUUUCAAGUUUUUAUGCCAUUACAAAUGAGAGCCUUCUGUUUUCCGUCGUGGCCCCAGUUUAAUAUAAAAUCCAUCUAACUUCCAAAAAGACAGAUGGCAGUGUUUGGUUCCUGCAGCUCUUGAGUGAGGAAUUCCAGUGCCAAGGAGUCAGGAUGGAUUCAGGAGAGAUUUUAGAUGAUUACACUUAAUUCAUCUCAAAACUAGCCACACACGUUUUUAUUUUGUUCUGUUUCUGUGCUGGGGCUUGAAGCUGGUGCCUGGUGCAUACUAGGCUUGUGUUCUACCACUGAGCUUCAACCCCGGCCCCUACGCACGUUUUUUGAAAUAUGAUAAUACAUACGUGGUUGAAGAUGGUUCACUCAGUUUAUAGACAACGUCGUGUGCUGCAGAGGAUUCCCGGGCCCUGAACACCAUUGCUGCAGAACAAAGACUAGGUGUGAUAUGUAAGUUUUACACACAACAGAGCCAAACUUGUGCCCUACUCUGAGGGACAAGGCACUCUGGAAUCCUGAAACGGUGUAUAGGUCUGUUGUUUUCUUGCAGUUUGGGGUUUUUCGUUUCAUUGAACUUGAAUUCUUGAAGCAUGGAUUCUCCAGGUCCGGGGUACACGGUAGCUCCGUAAACCACAGGGACCCAUAACAAGGUGCAGGAGAGGGAAGCAGCCUCUGAGACUUGUGCUGGGCUGCAGGGCUGUUCUGAAGUCAGCUUUUAAGUUGAGAAAUCAUUAGGCCUGACCUUCUGCUGCCUACAAGGGGAAGAGGAAGCCCCUUCAGAGGAAAGACUUCGACCAAUCAAAAGGCCACAGCAUGGACAUGGGUGCCGUGGUCAUCUUUCUUUCCUCUCCUCAUCUAGGAGACCGAAGCCCAGAGAAGACAAGUGACCACUGAGGUGAUGGGGAUGCUGCCUCCAGAGUCCGACCACUGCUGUCCUCACGGGAUCUGCCCCCACUGCCACGUCAUGGGUUAGAGCCACUGUGCAGAGACCCCAUGAAGGGACUGGACCCCAAUCAAGGUGUUCCCUGACACAGGGUUUGUGGUGAGGAGAGAAGUUGAUUUUUGCAACAUUGUUUCUGGUGAUAUCCAAAAUCUAAACUGUGUAUCUGGUUUGUGUUCAUGAACUGACCAGUCCAGCACCCCUCUCGCCUUUACUCUGCCGAGGAACUACCUGGCCCAGUGUAAGACCUGGUAGUAAUUUUCUAGUAUUUUAUGUUCAUAAAAGAGAAAGAAAUGAAUAGACUCCUGCAAUAACUUGGUCCUUGAAUGGUAUGGACAAAGCCUACCAGGAACUCGACUAUCUUGACCACGUAAAGGCCAGAAUGUGGCUUAGUCCCGGGCUCUGGUCCAGCUGCGUCUUUGUCCUGCUGCCGGAAGCCUGUCGGGAAGGAGGGCAGCAGGACGCUCCCCUCUGCCCCAGCUGUCAUCCAGAAUUUAAAAGUUCUCUGCAGGGACACAGCACAGAGAAAGAAGGGAACCGAGGAAGAGGACAGCAGCGUGCUUACAAAGGGAACCCGCGGGCCAUGCAUCUGCAGAUGCCCAGAGGGGCGGCGACGUCCCUGGACACCCUACUUGCUCACCACAGCUCGAGUCGCAUAUUCGUCAAAAGCCAUCCUGCUACUUCCACAGUCAGGAUACGCGUCACCCAGGAGUGCCAUGGGGGGACAGGGACUGCACCUCUGCCCUCCGUGGCGUGCACCACCCAGCCCGUAGGACCUGGACCCGAUGCUGCUGCUGUGUUCAAAGAGUGGUCUUUUUGGUGCUGGGGAUCUAGCCUAGGGCUGCGCGUGUGCCGAGCUCUGCACCCUGGGCGAUGCAUGUCCCUGCUGUUCAGGUCAACACGUGGACCUGACCACAGGAGGGUAAGGCUGAAGGUGGCUGAGGGAGGUGGACAGUGCCCUCUGUGAACGAGGACAGCCACCUGCCGCCCCCUGGGUACGUCGGCCUCAGCCUCCUGCCUGGGUCUCUUCCUGUGCUGCUCUGUGCCGCUCUGGUCUGUUCCUCCUUCCUCUUUACCAGACUUCUCCUCUUUCCUUUGUGUUUCUUUGUUUUCCUCCACCCUAGUUUGUUUCUUCUCAAACCCCCACACUGUGAAGCCAAAUGACACUUUAAUUGCAGUCUUUUACAGGUGAAGCUUUCUGGUUGCUACUUUAUGUUUGCUUAAGGUAAAUGAAUUGAACUCUAAGGACAGAGAGAGUCUUUUUAAAUGACCUGAUCCUUUUACAGAAAAGCAAAUAAUAUCAUUUGCUUCUCCUGAUUUAGAGGCAAAUGAUAUUUGGUUUUCUGCAGAAGUCGGGGAGCUUUGUAAGAAGGCAAUAUCAGCUUAGCGUGGGGAGCAGAUGCCUUGGAAAAUCACUCACCUUCUGAACCUCUAAGGAGGAGGUGUCUUUAGGAAGCCUUCUCUGGCCUUUGUUAGCUUCCAUGUCUGAAGCUCUCUGGGUGUCACUAUUGGCCCUGAGAGGGAGCAGGGCCGUGCAUCCAACAUCUGUGCCACACACCAGACCCAAGGCAUUUCUAGAAGGUUCCACCAGGGAGGAAGCUCUUUGCCCCAUUCUGUGUGGGAUCCAGCAUAGAGUAUUGCUCUUUUUCACUUACCUGCUGGGUCCUGACUGACCCAGGAAGAGAAGGCUGUGAUAGGCUUACACUCCCUAUAAGCUCAUAGUUGAU
rnacentral:lncRNA from 1 species